rnacentral:rRNA from 1 species
CAAAGGUGAGCCAGUACAGGAUGGACCCGCGUCUGAUUAGCUAGUUGGUAAGGUAACGGCUUACCAAGGCGACGAUCAGUAGCCGACCUGAGAGGGUGAUCGGCCACAUUGGAACUGAGACACGGUCCAAACUCCUACGGGAGGCAGCAGUGGGGAAUAUUGCACAAUGGGCGAAAGCCUGAUGCAGCAACGCCGCGUGAGUGAUGAAGGCCUUCGGGUCGUAAAACUCUGUCCUCAAGGAAGAUAAUGACGGUACUUGAGGAGGAAGCCCCGGCUAACUACGUGCCAGCAGCCGCGGUAAUACGUAGGGGGCUAGCGUUAUCCGGAUUUACUGGGCGUAAAGGGUGCGUAGGCGGUCUUUCAAGUCAGGAGUGAAAGGCUAUGGCUCAACCGUAGUAAGCUCUUGAAACUGGGAGACUUGAGUGCAGGAGAGGAGAGUGGAAUUCCUAGUGUAGCGGUGAAAUGCGUAGAUAUUAGGAGGAACACCAGUUGCGAAGGCGGCUCUCUGGACUGUAACUGACGCUGAGGCACGAAAGCGUGGGGAGCAAACAGGAUUAGAUACCCUGGUAGUCCACGCUGUAAACGAUGAGUACUAGGUGUCGGGG